AACGCACCUUGCACCCUUUGGUAUGCCAAAGGGUACACCCGUUUGAGUGUCAUUGUAAUCUCACCACAAUUGACUUUUGUCUUUUGUAUGUGGACUUGGAUGUUGCCGUGAAAUUGAUCGAUGGCUCAUCUGAAAUGCUUGAGUAUACCCCACUUUGCGGCGUAUUCGGUGUGAUACAUCUUCACCGGAGUCUGAUCCUCACGGGUCGCGUCAGUCAGGGUGUGGCUCUGUGCUUCGAACCGUCCUGUAAGGGACAAUCUUUGACAAUUUGACCUCAAAUCGGGUGGGACCACCCGCUGAACUUAA
rnacentral:misc_RNA from 1 species